AUUGAACGCUGGCGGCAGGCUUAACACAUGCAAGUCGAGCGAGCGGCGGACGGGUGAGUAAUGUCUGGGAAACUGCCUGAUGGUGGGGGAUAUCUUCGGGAAACGGUAGCAAAUACCGCAUACCAUCAGAUGUGCCCAGGUGGGAUUAGCUAGUAGGUGGGGUGGUGGGUCACCUAGGCGACGAUCCCUAGCUGGUCUGAGAGGAUGACCAGCCAAACGGGAACUGGGGCACGGUCCAGACUCCUACGGGAGGCAGCAGUGGGGAAGAUUGCACUAUGGGCGCAAGCCUGAUGCAGCCAUGCCGCGUGUGUGAAUAAGGCCUUCGGGUUGUAAAGCACUUACAGCGUGGAGGCGUUACUCGCAGAAGAAGCACCGGCUAACUCCGUGCCAGCAGCCGCGGUAAUAC
rnacentral:rRNA from 1 species